GGAAGGGAUGUGGCUUAGUGGCAGAGCAUCUGCUUUGCAUGCAGAAGGUCUCAGCUUCAAUCACCAUUCUCUCCA